rnacentral:rRNA from 1 species
AUUGAACGCUGGCGGCAUGCCUUACACAUGCAAGUCGAACGGCAGCACGGGUGCUUGCACCUGGUGGCGAGUGGCGAACGGGUGAGUAAUACAUCGGAACAUGUCCUGUAGUGGGGGAUAGCCCGGCGAAAGCCGGAUUAAUACCGCAUACGAUCUACGGAUGAAAGCGGGGGACCUUCGGGCCUCGCGCGAUAGGGUUGGCCGAUGGCUGAUUAGCUAGUUGGUGGGGUAAAGGCCUACCAAGGCGACGAUCAGUAGCUGGUCUGAGAGGAGGACCAGCCACACUAGGACUGAGCCACGGCCAAGACUCCUACGGGAGGCAGCAGUGGGGAAUUUUGGACAAUGGGCGAAAGCCUGAUCCAGCAAUGCCGCGUGUGUGAAGAAGGCCUUCGGGUUGUAAAGCACUUUUGUCCGGAAAGAAAUCCUUGGCCCUAAUACGGUCGGGGGAUGACGGUACCGGAAGAAUAAGCACCGGCUAACUACGUG